GCUGCUGUAGCUCAGUCGGUAGAGCAACUGAUUCGUAAUCAGUAGGUCGGGGGUUCAAUUCCUCUCAGCAGCACCA
rnacentral:tRNA from 1 species